rnacentral:rRNA from 1 species
CCAUCACUGACGNUCAUGGACGAAAGCCAGGGGAGCGAAAGGGAUUAGAUACCCCUGUAGUCCUGNCCGUAAACGAUGAACACUAGGUGUCGGGGGAAUCGACCCCCUCGGUGUCGUAGCCAACGCGUUAAGUGUUCCGCCUGGGGAGUACGCACGCAAGUGUGAAACUCAAAGGAAUUGACGGGGGCCCGCACAAGCGGUGGAGUAUGUGGUUUAAUUCGAUGCAACGCGAAGAACCUUACCAGGGUUUGACAUCCUGCGAAUCUCUUGGAAACAGGAGAGUGCCUUCGGGAACGCAGUGACAGGUGGUGCAUGGCUGUCGUCAGCUCGUGUCGUGAGAUGUUGGGUUAAGUCCCGCAACGAGCGCAACCCACGUCUUUAGUUGCCAGCAUUUAGUUGGGCACUCUAGAGAGACUGCCGGUGAUAAACCGGAGGAAGGUGUGGAUGACGUCAAGUCAUCAUGCCCCUUACAUCCUGGGCUACACACGUACUACGAUGCUACGGACAAAGGGCAGCAAGUUCGCGAGGACAAGCAAAUCCCAUAAACCGUGGCUCAGUUCAGAUCGUAGGCUGCAACUCGCCUACGUGAAGGCGGAAUCGCUAGUAAUCGCAGGUCAGCAUACUGCGGUGAAUACGUUCCCGGGCCUUGUACACACCGCCCGUCACACCAUGGAAGUUGGCCACGCCCGAAGCCGUUACUCCAACCCUUGUGGAGGAGGACGUCGAAGGUGGGGCUGAUGACUGGGGUGAAGUCGUAACAAGGUAACC